GCGUGUACAGCAUGUUUUUAUUUCGACCUGUUGCUUUUGUUCUAUCUUUUAAACCAAUAGUUUUUCAUCGCUACCCCGCUGGCUCAACUUGGCAUGUCGUACCUCCCAGAUGCGGUUGCCUGAAACAGGUCUUAUCCAAACCAGCUGAACGCGGUGGCAUGUGACCUAAGACAAUUGCCAUUUCCAACAGAGACCCAACAAGGCGACUUAUUCGCCGGGUUACGCACCGCAGCAAGCAAGCUCCUUCCACAUCUUCUCACUUUGAAUUGGCCGCAGAUAUAACUAUUUCUGUGUUAUUGUCUAUUAUUAAACUCGGCAGGCGACUUCCUUCACUAAGGACAGCCUUUCCUUUAAUCGCCGUUUGAUUCUACUGAGUGUCGUGAGGGUCUGCUGUCCCAGCAUUUUAUCCUAGGUUUCGCAGAGGUACCUAAUCUGAAGUCGCAGGCCAAAGACGAUACGCUGAGACCGCGUUGCGAAUAUGAAACAACUCAUCUGUCAGUCACUCGAUCAAUUAAUCUGAUGACUAUUGUUGAUGUCUAUCGCAGCUUGACUCCGAAGCCGUCACUUCGGUCCUCGUGACGGGAAGGGCUACAUGAAGAAAAAUUGUCUCGAAGUGAAUGAGGCUUGGUGAGUGAUUGAUGACAAUAAAAUGGAUUUAGGACACGGUCGACUUUUAUGCCUACGAAAAUAUUCGAGUUGAAUAUAGAAGAGGAAGGCUGGCAUAUGAUUUUUUUUGUUGACUCUAUCUGGUUCUUGACGAAAUGAAUCGAGAUUUUCUCUGCAUUCAUUAUGUGAUCCGAAAAUGCGCGGAUCACACUUGGCUAAGGGUCAGAGAACUGUAGUAUAGGCCCAAUUACUUUAUACUGUUGUUACACUUUAAGCAUAACAGUGCGGUGGGAAGGAUUAAGCAGUAACCGCAUCUUAACAAAGUUACUACAUAUGUCAGAUAUAAAUGUAUGGGCAUUGCUUAAGUGUCCGAUCAGCGUAGGUCAUCGCGUUGCUUUUAGCUGAGUACUAGCAUUUCCUUUUUGUUUUUUGUUCCCAUUACAGCUGAUUCCGUGUGCCAGCUUCAUCGUAUUUUACUUCCGCAGAACAUCUACGUUUAACAAAGUGUAGUUUAUCAAGUCGUUCCAGGGAAGGCAAAAAAAAAUUGAGAAGCUGGCUAUUAUUUGUUAAAAUAUAACACGGAAGCCUUUACGUUCCUAUGCAAAGGCUUAGCGUUUAAAUGACAGACAUAAAUCAUUCGUAAUCAAGCUUGCCGUACCAAUGAAACGUUCCUUUGUAUAUUACAUUCGUCUGCUAGCGUCCAAUCCAUAAUUAUGCAUAACAUAUAAACGUUCCAAUAUUACAGUUCAAUUCUAAAUUAUUCAUGUGUACUCCUACUUCAAAACUUUGCCGGUACAACAAAACACCGAAUCCAAUCAACGUUUACUACACACCGCCUCGUAUUCGUUACCGAGGAAUAUGCUUAAUUUCUGUCCAACCGUCUAUAUCCUAGCAGAUUUGUCCCGGCAGGUAUAGCAUUAUUUCAGUCGUAGCUAACUCUAAUAUUAGUAAUUAUGUUUGUUGUCCUAGGUAUCAGCAUGUACAUAGAAAUCGUCCGCAGCUGGAAGGACGUAAUGCAUUCUGACGGUAACGACCCGUCGCUCACUAGGCGAUGCCUAUGAAGAGUUAGAGGUUGAGGUGAACCGCCUCCCUAGGUUGACGGAGAGCCAAUGCUUAAAGAACUAAUAACAUAUGCAUCUAUUAGACGAGCGCUAGUUUUAUAAGUUACAAUGCCGUCGUUGCUUGGGGCAGGAUUCGUCUCCACUGGGCAGUAAACCUGUUACAAUUUAUGAAAUCUUUUGUAAAGCGAAAAUCAUGGAGCGUUCUAGUACGUUUAGAUAGAUAUUAUUUGCAGCUUGUUAUUACUUGUGAAUACAAUUGUUGGUUAUAGUAAAUUUCCUAGAAUUAAUUGGCUAGCACAAAAACAUACGAAGCAUAUAAUCUUUAUAAAUACAUAGUGGUGCCAGAGAAACAGGUUUGUACUUUGUCUGGCAUUGGCCAACGCUGGCUUCCACUUAAGUUUAUAGUUAGAACAAGCGCUGCCUGAAAUGUGGGUCCCAUUUUCUCUAAAAUAUAAUUUUACUUAGUGCUAACACUAGGUCGAUUUUUAGUCACUUCGUCUAAAGCUGAAGGUCUCAAAGUGCAUUGGCUAAGCAUUUCGUCGUACGUUAUUUCAACAUCGUAUAUAACCACCCUAAUCUAUCUUUUCUAGCUCAAUAACAGUGAAAAUGUCAUGGGUCGCGUGAAUAGGUGUUGCACUCCGUGAGGUGCGCUCCAAGUAGAAAGCGCACCCGCGCCAUUACAUUGCAUGCAGUCGACGACAACGAUAGCCUGUGUUUAUACCUAAAAUACCCAGCUUGAUCCUAAGCAUCAUAGCAGAGACUCAUUCUGUCGUCGAUGGUAUCGUGCCAGUUUGAUUUCUGGGUUUUAUGCCUAGCUGUGGUAAAAUAAGCGUUCGUUGCACUUGUUAUUGCUGACCAUAUGCGUUCGGGCGCUGGAACUACGGCUGCGCUUAGCAGCUACAUUGCUUUAAGUCAAAUGCGGCUGCCCACUUAUCGGAACAGAUCAUAAUUUGCGUUGCUCUAUUUGAAGAUAAAACAAGAAAAAGGUUAUUUUUGAUAGGACCACAUAUAAAUAAACGCCCGCCUGCUGUAUGGUCGAGCCAAUGGAAAACGCGUGUUGUAAAUUUACUAUUAGUUAUUAUUCCAUUCCACCGCUCUCGCCGGAAAUGCUAAUGUACCACACAGGCAUAUCAAACAUGUACCUGCCUAUGGAAAUACGUCGCCACGAGAAACUCAUCGAUGUUAUGUACUCAAUACCCCACGUCCCGGUCUCCUCUUUGUGCAAAAUAAUAGGCUAAAGCUUUGACUACGAGUUUCCUACGUGCAUGAAUGCCCACAGGCUUUGAGUUUGAACAGGUUUGCUGAUGCCGCGGCUGUGUAACAACCGAAGUAAGGCUCACCGUCUUCUGCCCCAUUUGCCGUCUACGUCGCCAUGAUGACAACAUUCUUAUUAGUCGUGGCCGGCUUUUUUUUUUCGUUUCAUCAUUUGAACCAGUCGGGAACUUGCGGGACAUGCAGCUUUCAUCCAUGUAAGCUAACUGUGUUAGAUACAGCGACCGGGAACAGCGAGUUCCAGCUUUUUGAUGGGAGCUCACAAAUCAACUUCGAGACAUUCUCUCUAUAGUUCGCCAUUCAUCGCGAACAGGGACUGAACUGGCUUGCUCGGAGUGGGUAGGCUCAGGGUCAGUAAAAUCCAGUCGACCGACAUAUACACAUGAAACCUUACUCCAUCGUGCUUCGUCCUGCUUCAACAUCAGCAUCAGCUGUCCAUGUUGUUACUGUUAUUUAGACGCCAAGACUCGCUCUAAACACGCGGCAGUGCACUCGAUCAGACAUAGUUGCACCGGGGUGGGCCGCCGUACUACAUAUAUAACAAGUAACUUACACCAUAUGUGCUAUCACUCAUGUACAUGAAAUCUACCAGUGAGUUUGUAUGAACGUAAAUAUUUAAUCAUUGUAUUUUCACUGCGCCAAUUCGACUGGCAGAGUAAGCCGUUUUCCUAUAACGUUAUCGUCCGAAAAUUGAAUCAGAUUAAAACUCAAUUUUUGCCCUUAGAAGAGUCCGUAAUUUCUCGUCACUUUGCUACGGGCAACAUUGCUCCAAUGAAAGGCUUUAACCGUUUUUGGUAAGCGUCUGCACAAUCUUAGGCCACUUGAAA